CCACACACCCCCACAGUCUCUCACACAUACACCCUCACACACAGUCUCUUACACACACACCCCCACACACACACCCCCACACAGAGUCUCUCACACACACCCCCCACACAGUCUCUUACACACACCCCCACACAUAGCCUCUCACACACACACACCCCCACACAGUCUCUCUCACACACACACCCACACACACUCUCUCACACACAUACCCCCACACACAGUCUCACCCCCACACACAGUCUGUCACACACACACCCCCCACACACAGUCUCUCACACACGCACACCCCCACACAGUCUCUCACACACACCCCCACACAGUCUCUCUCUCACACACACCCCCACACACAGUCUCUAACAUACACAUACCCCCAUACACAUCCUCACCCCCACACACAGUCUCUCUCACUCCCACACCCCCAUAGUCUCUCUCUCACACACAGUCUCUCACACACACACCCCCCACACAGUCUGUCUCUCACACACACGCUCACAUACACUCACCCACUCCAAGGAGUAAAGAGUUUACUUGCCCCAGAGCCCCACCCGUGCACCCCAUCUGAGAAUACAGCUUAGCAAGCUUGGCUGGAGAAGGGCCAGGGUCAGAGUUGACAUCAUAGCAGGUGGAACUUCCCAGAAAGGAUGAAAGUCAGGUUGAGAAAGAAGGGCUUUUCAUCACAACGGUCACAAACGGCUGAGGAAACCAAUGUAGCAAUUUUCUAAGGCCUGGAAAGCUCAGAGAAGAGAAGAUGCCUCCGGGGGGGCUCAGCUUCAGGUAACUCAGCUGAGGGUGUUUACCCCUCCAAAUCCCUCUGAGGUUUACUCCACCUGGAGAAGAAUGAUGGGCCAGGCUGGUUUGGGUUUGCAUGCCACCCUGUGUGCCAGGUCAUGACACCAGGUAUCUCUGAUGUCAGAGAACCACCAAGUCUAGAAUCAGAAGGAUGAUUCUGUGAGUGAAGAAUCUAGACAUCAGAGGGGGCUGGACCUUGCUCCAUGAUGUCUGGGCCUCUUUCGGAGUCACUCGGAGGUGUCCUUAGUCAUAUAUCCGGAGCUUUCUUUGCACUGUCUGAUAGAACAGCUAUGAGUGCUGGGCUUCCUCACAGAGUGAUGACCUCGUAUACUCAGACUUACAUGGUGGUUCAGGGCUCCAAGAGAGAGUGUUCCAGUGAACAAGGUGGAAGCUAUAUGGCCUUCCAUGAUCCAGUCUCCAAAGUCACAUGGCGUCACUUCUUUCAUACUCUAUCAAUCAGAGCAGUCACAAGACCACCCAGGUCCAAAGAGCAGGGAGAUGGACCAUACUUCUCAAUGGUUUCAUCGUAGAAGAGCAUGUGGGAGAGGGAAUAUUGUACAGAUGCCUUUGGAAAAUACAAGCAGCCACACUGACAGUUGGUGCUCUUUUCAAAACACCUACUCAGGACUCAGACAUUCUACCCAUUGUAUAUGGAAAGGAACUUCACAGUAUUUCUACCUACCAUUUUGCUAAUAUACUGUUUUGAGUUAUUUGAAUGUAAAAAUAAUUUUUUUUUUUUUCUAUAUAAACAUCAGCUUAGAUCCACUGGGUUGGCUAUAAUAAAAAAAGAUGGACAGUAACCAAUAUUGGCUAAGAUAUGGAGAAAUUGGAACCCUCAUACAUUGCUGGUGGGAAUGUAAAAUGAUGCAACUGCUUUGCAAAAACCGUUUGGCAGUUCCUCUAAAAGUGAAAUGUGGACUUACCCUAUGAUUAAGCAAUUCCACAUCAAGGUAUAUAACCAAGAGAAUUGAAAACAUACACCCAAAAACAAAACUUGUAUGUAAAUGUUCAUCUCAGCAUUAUUAAUAGUAGUCAAAAUGUGGAAACAACCCAAAUGUUCAUCAACUGAUGAAUUUAUAAAUAAAAUGUGAUAUAUCCAUAUGAAGGAGCCCUGGUGGCACAGUGGUUAAGCACUUGACUGUUCACUGAGAGGCCAGUGGUUCAAACCCACCAGCAGCUCCAUGGGAGAAAGAUAUGGAAGUCUGCUUCCAUAAAGGUUACAACCUUGGAAACCCUAUGGAGCAGUUCUACUCCGUCCCAUAGAGUAGCCAUGAGUUGGAAUUGACCCAACAACAAUGGAUUUGGUUUGGGUUUUAUAUCCACAUGAUGGAAUAUCAUUUGGCCAUAGAAAGGAGUCAAGUUAUGAUUUAUGUUACAACAUCGAUGAACCUUGAAAACAUUGUGCUAAGUGAGAGAAGCCAGUCCUCAGAGGCCACAUAUUGCAUAAUUUCACUUACAUGUAAUGUCCAGAACAGGCAAGUCUAUAGAUACGGGAAGUGGAUUAUUGGUUGCCAAGGGCUGGGGGAAGGGAUCCACUGCUAAUAGAUAUGAAAUUUCUUUCGGGGGUGAUGAAAUAUUCUUAGUUAGUGGGUAUAGUUACAGAACUCUGUGAAUAUGCUAAAAUUCACCGAACUGCACGCUUUAAAAGGGUGAAUUUCAUGAUAUGUAAAUUAUAUAUCAAUAAAACAAUUGUUUCAGAAAAUAAUAAUAAUAAAAAUCAGCUGAGAGAUACUUCCAGUCUAUGAACUUUGAGUAUUAAAAGCCAAGUGGCAUUCUGCUGGGGAAAUGUACAGGGGAGACGCUUUGCAGGUAGAGCUGUACGGACACAACCCACACUGCGCACCCUCUUGCAAGCUCUGGAGAAGGAUGAGCUGCAGAAAAAGCUCGCCUGGGGACCCAAGAAGGCCAUAAAACCCAAACCAAAUGUGAGUCAUGGGACCAGUUUACUCAGCUAAACCUAUCACAGGGGCAUGGCUGGGGCUGGUGGGAGGGAGAUGAACAAGCAGUGGAAGUGAAAGCUCAGGGCCACGUAAGGAUCAUGGUUUUGAAGGCCGGGUGACCCUGCACAUUUUUAAAAUGGUGCCUAAUGAGUGCCCUGGUCUGGCCAGUCAGAUUAGUGGUCAGUCAGAUGCUGGAGAGGUAGGCAUUGGGUGGGGCAUGGAGGCAGCAGCAGGAGGGGAAGCCUGGUGUCAGGUAAGCCUCACGUUGGACAUGCAUGAGCAAGGCUACUCCAGGGGCUUGGUCUGGCCAUAGCAGUAUUCUCUGGGAUUGGCGAGAUCUAGAGAGGUGUCAGCAUCCCAUAGGGUAGCCUGGAUUUUAGGACACAGCUUCUUCCCGAAGGGGCCUUGGAAUUAGAAAUGAAAGUGAGUACAUUACACAUAAUCAUACAGAAAUAAAAACAGCUGUAACAUAAUACUCUGAACAGUUGUAUGCCAACAAAUUAGAUAACUUAGAGAAAAUGGACAUAUUCCUUGAAACACAUAAACUUCCUACAUUGACUCAAGAAGAAAUAGUGGAUCUUAACAGACUUAUAACAAGUUAAGAGAUUGAAUCAGUAAUAAAAAACCCAUCAAGAAAGAAAAGCCAUGGAUCAAUUGGCUUCACUGGGGAAUUCUAGCAAACAUUUACAGAAGUGGCUCCAAUCAUAUUCAAACUUUUCCAAAAAUUGGAAGAAGAUGAAACACUACCUAACUCAUUCUAUGAGGCAAACAUUAUCCUGAUGCCAAAAGAGACAAAGACACCACAAGAAAGCUACAGACCAAAGUCCGUAAUGAAUAUAGACGAAAAAGUAUUCAACAAAAUACUAGCAAACAGAAUCCAAAAACAUACUAAAAAAGAUUACACACCAUGGUCAAGUGGGAUUUAUCCCAGGAAUGCAAAGGUGGUUCAACUUUAGGAAAUCAGUAGAUGAAGUACACCACAUUAAUAGAACAAAUGAAAAGAAACACACGAUCAUCUCAAUAAAUGCAGAAAAGGCACCUGACAAAAUUCAACUCCCUUCAUGAUUAAAAUACUUAAAAAGAUAGGAAUAGAAGAGAAAUUCCUCAAUAUAAUAAAAGGCAUUUAUGAAACUCCCUCAGCUAAUAUCACAGUCAAUGGAGAAAAACUGAGAGCUUUCUCAUUAAGAUCAGGAACAAUGCAGGGAUGCCCAUUCUUACCACUGCCAUUGAACAUCAUUCUGGAAGUCCUAGACAGAGCAAUUAGGUUAGGGGGGAAAUAAAAGGUUUCCAAAUCAGGAAGGAGGAGGUAAAACUACUUCUUUUCACAGGUGACAUGUUCCUUUACAUAGAAAACCCCAAAGAAUCCAUAAGAAAGCUUUUAGAACUAAUAAAUGAAUUCAUAAGGUGGCAGGGUACAAGAUCAACACACAAAAAUCAGUCGGGUUUCUAUAUAUCAGCAAUGAGUAAGCAGAAAGGGAAAUUAAGGAAACAUUACCAUUUACAAUAGAAUCUAAAAGAAUAAAUUACCUAGGAACAGAUUUAACCAGGAAGGUGAAAGACUUGUGUGCAGAAAACUACAAAACAUCACAAAAAGAAAUUAAAGACCUAAAUAAAUAGAAUGACAUUCCAUGUUUGUGGAUUGGAAAGCUUAAUAUAGCUAAAAUGUCAAUACUACCCAAAGCAAUGUAUAAGUUCAAUACAAACUCCAUCAAAAUUUCAAAAGCCUUCUUUGCAGAAAUGAAAAAGCCAACCCUCAAAUUUAUAUGGAAGUGCAAAGAACUCUGAAUAGCUAAACAAAUCUUUUUUAAAAAUUUUAUUGUGCUUUAAGUGAAAGUUUACAAAUCAAGUCAG